rnacentral:rRNA from 1 species
UACGAAGGGGGCUAGCGUUGUUCGGAAUUACUGGGCGUAAAGGGCGCGCAGGCGGCCCUCCAAGUCAGGCGUGAAAGCCCCGGGCUCAACCCGGGAAUAGCGCUUGAGACUGGGGGGCUUGAGUUCGGGAGGGGAGAGUGGAAUUCCCAGUGUAGAGGUGAAAUUCGUAGAUAUUGGGAAGAACACCGGUGGCGAAGGCGGCUCUCUGGACCGACACUGACGCUGAGGCGCGAAAGCGUGGGGAGCAAACAGG